rnacentral:rRNA from 1 species
UACGUAGGGCGCAAGCGUUGUCCGGAAUUAUUGGGCGUAAAGAGCUCGUAGGUGGCUUGUUGCGUCUGCCGUGAAAGCCCGUGGCUUAACUACGGGUCUGCGGUGGAUACGGGCAGGCUAGAGGCUGGUAGGGGCAAGCGGAAUUCCUGGUGUAGCGGUGAAAUGCGUAGAUAUCUGGAGGAACACCGGUGGCGAAGGCGGCAUCCUGGACCGGCAUUGACGCUGAGGCGCGAAAGCCAGGGGAGCAAGCGGG